UCCCAGGUGGCACUAGUGGUAAAGAACCUGCCUGCCAAUGCAGGAGACAUAAGAGACGCAGGUUCGAUCCCUGGGUUGGGAA
rnacentral:tRNA from 1 species